UAUUAUUAUUAUUAUUUUAAAUUUAUUGUGCUUUUUAAACAGUUUAGUUGAACAAGUAGUUAUCAUUUGAAGCACAUUGAUUGUAAUCUUUGUUUUCAAAUUUGAAUUGAGCAAGCUGUUUGAAUUGGGUUUCCUAUGAACUGCUUCCACCAUUUGAUCCUGGUUAAAACUGAUACAGAUACAGAAAUCAAUCAAAAGAAUAGUUGGCUGUUGACUAAUGGUCUAACUGGUUAUCUAAUAUUUCAGACCUAUAGGCAAGGUUUUUGCACUCAUCCUGGUCUUCAAACUUCUAAAAGGGAGGGGGCUAUGAGUUAGAGGUUCAACUGGGAUAGAACUGGGUUGACUGAAAUUGAAAAAGCUAAAUAAUAAAUGUAGUAUAAAGUUUAUUUUAGCUAGUGUAAUUUAUUAAAAGCAUAAGUAAAUCAAAAUAUGAUAAAAUUAGUCAACUUAAUAAGUUAUUGGGAGAAAGGGAAGUUUUUAACAUAAUAAAGUGCUCGAGUAAUUUGAAAUUUUAAUGUAAUAAUUUUGCAUAGAAUUGAUAAUUUAUCGAUACCUAUUAUGUUAACAAUUAAAUAUUGCAUUUCAUCAUUACCAUAUUUUUAUUAACAUCAAAUACUUCUAAAGUCUAUAUGAGAAAAAUCCAUUCUAUAUUGGAAAAAAAAGUUAUCCACAAUAUUGCAAAAGAAAUUUAUAUCUAAACUGAAAAAGAAAAUUUCAACCAUAACAUCUAAUAAAGUGUUUGGUAUCAAUGCCAAAAUUAAAGUCAUCCAUCAAUAAGCAUCUUACUUCAUAUUGAAAUGUUUAAUCUUUUCCUUAAUUUUGAUGGAGUUUUUCUCUUAAAAAUUUGUGUUCACACUCAACACAAUUUUGUUUUCGGCAAAAAACCUCAUGAAAUAUCUAGCAUAUGUCCAACGUGUAUAAAGUUGUAUUGGAUUGUGUGUCUAUUUCUUCCCCCCCCCCCCCUCCUUUUG
rnacentral:misc_RNA from 1 species